CAUAAGUAUUACUCACGCAAUUGUGCUUAAUGAAAAAUACUAAAUUAAAAUAAACCUUCUUUUCAAUCUUCGACUUCUAGUGGAAAUGUUUUUCAUUGAGUUUAAGUGGCUAACCAUGGUAAACUUUAGACAUGACUACUUAUUUUUUGGAUCUCCCCAGGCUGUGCAGUGAUUUGAUGCUUCUGGUUUCUCUUUUCCUCUUCCAGGAGCCUGUCAUCAUGUUUCCAACAGCGGCCUCAUUUGUGGUUUGCAUUGCCCUGGCUCUCAGCAGGGUUGCAGCUCAGGGUGACGAGAAGGAAGAAGUGGUGAAGAGGGAAGCGUCAAUGUGUGAUGGUUCCUGUCUGAAGGGUUGGAGCAGUUUCAAAAACAAGUGCUACCAGUAUGUAAAGGACAA